rnacentral:piRNA from 1 species
AAAGGAGUAACGUAACGAGAAAUGUCUGUGC